CGGUUGCUACGUUCAACACACCCCGCCGCGCUCCAGGCUAAUUGGGCCCCAGGUGCGGCUCGGGCUGUGCCCGCGGGGGACGCCCCACUCCCCGCCUGGUUCCGCCUUAAAGGAACACGCCCCCAUUUCCCCUGCGCUUGGAGCCUCGCAGAUCCCAUCCGAGAAUCCUGGCUCCAAAAGGUUCUGGAAUUUACUCAACCUGACAAGCUCGCACGUGCUGGGGUCAGGUCACCUCUCAGCUGAUAGGGAAGAUAACUGCCACCAACAAACAUGUACUAGGCACUUGUCUGCUUCAAGAUUGCAUCAAGCACAGACAUGCAAAGAGCGGUUCUCUUCCCAGAGCAUGGAAUAAUCCGCUUCACGUCAUAUGCCAAGUGUCUGCAACUCACCAGGUAGCCUCGGAAGUCUGGACGUUCCAUCCGAACACUGGACUGUUUUCAUACAGCACUCACUCAGGACUGCAAAGCAGUUUCCCCCAGAUUUUUUGUUUAUCUUAUAAGGAUCUUAUUCUGAUUCAUGGAGUAAUUAAAUCCUUAUUAUAUCAGGUCACUUUCAAUGCAAAUAGAAGUCAUUUCUACAGUAUGUGCUUUCAGUGAGUAAGCUGCUAGUCACUCCAUUGAAUCUGAACAUAUGUAACUUGAAAUACCAGCAAGGGAGGGUCACCGUGAAGCAAAGCUUGAGUCAGCGCACCUAGAUCCUUGGGGGUAGCACUUGUUUGCUGCCAGAACUCAGGAUUCCUGAUAUUUCAGACUCAGAAAUCUUAUUGGCCCAGCACCUUCACAGCUGACCAGUGUCUCUCAGUGUGGAGCCCCACUAACCUGACUCAUAAAGCACUGAUGCCGCGUUGCAUCCUCUGCUCUUUCCCCAUAAGAGGAAUCCCUUUAGGACCAAAUUAAUUCCAAUGAUUGUUAGGUGAGCGUGGAAUCAAAGCAAAGGGAAGGAAUCAUAUGGUUCACAUACUGGAGGCAUUAACCAUUAGAACCAAGCACCCUUCUCCUUCAGGAGCAACGGUUCCUGAACAGUGGUGCAUUCAUGCCGCUGUCUUGGGCUCUCUGAUUCUAGAUCUUUCCAUGUUUCCCUUAAUAACCACUUCUCUUCUGUGGACAUACUUUUUUUUUUUUUUUAAAGUAUACAGACAGAUGCUGUUAAUAAAGCUAGAGAGGCUGGGUGCAGUGGCUCACGCCUGUAAUCCCAGCACUUUGGGAGGCCGAGGUGGGCGGAUCACUUGAAGUCAGGAGUU